rnacentral:rRNA from 1 species
UACGGAGGAUGCGAGCGUUAUCCGGAUUUAUUGGGUUUAAAGGGAGCGUAGGUGGACUGGUAAGUCAGUUGUGAAAGUUUGCGGCUCAACCGUAAAAUUGCAGUUGAUACUGUCAGUCUUGAGUAUCGGAGAGGUAAUCGGAAUUCCUUGUGUAGCGGUGAAAUGCUUAGAUAUCACGAAGAACUCCGAUUGCGAAGGCAGCUCACUAGACUGCAACUGACACUGAGGCUCGAAAGUGUGGGUAUCAAAC